UACGUAGGGGGCUAGCGUUGUCCGGAAUCAUUGGGCGUAAAGAGCUCGUAGGCGGUCUGUCGCGUCGGUCGUGAAAACCUGCAGCUUAACUGUGGGCGUGCGGUCGAUACGGGCAUGACUGGAGUUCGGCAGGGGAGACUGGAAUUCCUGGUGUAGCGGUGAAAUGCGCAGAUAUCAGGAGGAACACCGGUGGCGAAGGCGGGUCUCUGGGCCGAUACUGACGCUGAGGAGCGAAAGCGUGGGGAGCGAACAGG
rnacentral:rRNA from 1 species